rnacentral:tRNA from 1 species
AGCCCUGGGGUGUUGGCACGUCAGAUUGCAAACCUGAAGGAGCGGGCUUACCGCCUGCCGGGGCUU